CCUACGGGCGGCUGCAGUGGGGAAUAUUGGACAAUGGGGGCAACCCUGAUCCAGCCAUGCCGCGUGUGUGAAGAAGGCCCUCGGGUUGUAAAGCACUUUCAGUGAGGAAGAACGCCUGGUGGUUAAUACCCAUCAGGAAAGACAUCACUCACAGAAGAAGCACCGGCUAACUCCGUGCCAGCAGCCGCGGUAAUACGGAGGGUGCGAGCGUUAAUCGGAAUUACUGGGCGUAAAGCGCGCGUAGGUGGCUUGAUAAGCCGGUUGUGAAAGCCCCGGGCUCAACCUGGGAACGGCAUCCGGAACUGGCAAGCUAGAGUGCAGGAGAGGAAGGUAGAAUUCCCGGUGUAGCGGUGAAAUGCGUAGAGAUCGGGAGGAAUAACAGUGGCGAAGGCGGCCUUCUGGACUGACACUGACACUGAGGUGCGAAAGCGUGGGUAGCAAACAGGAUUAGAUACCCUAGUAGUC
rnacentral:rRNA from 1 species